rnacentral:rRNA from 1 species
AUACGUAGGUGGCAAGCGUUAUCCGGAAUUAUUGGGCGUAAAGAGGGAGCAGGCGGCAGCAAGGGUCUGUGGUGAAAGCCUGAAGCUUAACUUCAGUAAGCCAUAGAAACCAGGCAGCUAGAGUGCAGGAGAGGAUCGUGGAAUUCCAUGUGUAGCGGUGAAAUGCGUAGAUAUAUGGAGGAACACCAGUGGCGAAGGCGACGAUCUGGCCUGCAACUGACGCUCAGUCCCGAAAGCGUGGGGAGCAAAUAGGAUUAGAUACCCUAGUAGUCCACGCCGUAAACGAUGAGUACUAAGUGUUGGAUGUCAAAGUUCAGUGCUGCAGUUAACGCAAUAAGUACUCCGCCUGAGUAGUACGUUCGCAAGAAUGAAACUUAAAGGAAUUGACGGGG